CCUAGUGAAAAAAAAGUAUACUUUAUUGUAUUUGUAAUAUAUUUCCUGUUUCAAUAGUACAUUGCAAAUAUACUAACCAAAAGUUGUACUAACUUUAAAUAUAUUAUAAGUGUAUUACCACCAUGCUUUUACCUAUUUUCACAAUACAACUUUUAACACACUUUAAAAUAAUUGUAAUUUAGUAUAUUUUCUAAAAAAUAUAUUUUCUAAAAAUAUACUUGAAAUGUAGUUUUGUUUGUUUUUAAAAGUGUAUUUAUUUGCACUUUAUGUAAAUAUAUUUUAGUAUUAUUUUUAACUGUGUGCUGAAAUGUAACAAUGCAUUGAAAGUAUACUUUUAAAGUACAUUAUUAAAGAACUUGUUAGUAUGCUUUAAGUAAAAUUUUGGAGUAAUUUUUAAGUGUACUUCAUGCUUACAACAGAAAGUAAUAAAACAUGAUAAAUGCAUUUAAAGCCCAUUUAAAACAUUAUUAAAUGAAGUGUAUGCAUACAUACAAAAUGCUACUCUUGUAAUUGUGAUUUAAGUAUUUUAAUAAAUUGAUACAAUGUCACAGAGGGGUCCAUGUACAUCAAUGCAUUUAUAAUUUUAUACCAACAGCACACCAUACGAACACUAGAAAAAGUGUUCUAGACUGUAAAACCAAAUAGUAUUCCUUGCUAUAAAAAUACUAGUAAGUUUACUCUAUUUUAACCAAAAUGUUGAGUUUACUAAUUUUUUUUCAUUGCUGAAAUAUUACAACAGAUAGUUCCCAUAACUAAUGAAAUUUAAGUAAAAUUACUCAAAAUGUCCAAGACAUGCUGUUACGCAUGCGCACUGGGCGACAAUUGCCCCUCCCCCACGUCGCAGAAGCACAACGGCUGAAGACUCAACGUGUGUUUGCAGAGGAUCUAUUUCGGUAAAAUCAAGAAUACCAGCUGAUGACUGCUGUGCAGUGGAAAUAUCGAUCAUCUUGAUAAAACCUCAGUAUAUCAUCAGGAGCAACAGGUAUUAAUUUUGUGCUCCUUGAUAUGUUUUUUCCCUCCAAAAAUGGACAGUCUCUGACUUAAAUUUUAUCAAUCACCAAAGGCCACAUUUUCAGCUAAAAAUCUUCUUUGCUGUUCUGCUGAAGAAAAAUACUCAUGAACAUCUUGGGUGGCGUAAGGAUCUUUGCAGGAUUCAGUCGCAUAUCUCGGAUCUGAGUUCUGCGCAGCACUGGACACAGACUCUGCACUUUUGACAUUUUCUAGAAAAUUAAAUUUCACAUCAAGUUAAUUAAAAGUCAUCUGAUGUUUCCACUGCAGUACUUCAGGGCCUUUCAGUCAUCCUGGAGGAUGACCCACAGGAAUUUUACAGGAUGUGUUUCGAUGUGGAUGCAGACUUCAGUCAAGCAGUUGUAGACCUGCUCACAGUUCUACCAGAGGACAUGCCCUCAUUGUGGAUGCAAUAAAGGCAAUCAUGGAGGGAAGAAUUGUCAUGAAUGGGUUUUAAAGGCCUGUAUUUUAUUUUUGCUGUUCUGUUUGCAUGCCAUUCUGAAAAUGCUCUAUUGUUUAACAGUGUUCCAGUGGGUCCAGAUAAUGUUAUGACAACAAAGUGCUGUUUAGUUAAGAAGUCUGUAAAGAGUAUUAUAAGAACACAGAUGUUUU